rnacentral:lncRNA from 1 species
CGCCUGUCCGUGCAGCAGCCGCAAGGUCGUCAAGUGCUCCGGAACACCACGCUGUGAACUGCAAAUCGCCAUGUCGACUGGAGAAAGAUCCCUUUUCCCCGGCGCGCCCGUCCUUUGCCGCAGAACCCGUAAGCAAUACAAGCGACGCCGAAGCGCACUGAAUUGUUUGACACUGUCCUUUACUAGCUAGAGGGAGACUGAAUUCCUUGAGAUUCUGUAGAACCUCUAGAACGCGAGCCCGAUGUACCAAGACCGUACUUUGGCCACUAGCGUCUUUGGUGAGCCUUUCAGAAGUCGUCGGCGUCAGCCCCCCCCCACCCGGAUACGCACUGGAACGUCCCUCUCGAGCACCAGGCGCAGCCGCUUCUCCCAGCCCCGCAGAUUCCGCGUUAGCACUGGGAUCCAUCUUAUCAGACGCGGAAUCAACAACAAAUCCCACUUCGCGGCAAGUUCCCGUGGCGUCGGUAGUAGGCCUUUCUGGCGCUGCGGCACUCGCUGCUCGCAAUCCGUUCCCCGUACACUCGAUCUCGUUACAUAAUUGCGGGUUUAUGCUUGUGCUGAUAUCCCCGCCACUGCCGCUGUCGUCCGCGUCCGGAGAUUCCCGAGUCACCGUCCCUGCUGGGUUGCCCUGGGUGGGUUCUUGUUCUGCCUUGUCCCUCCCAGCACUUGCAGCUGUGGCUGCAGAAACAACGCGUCGCAGGAGGGCUUCCGCGGAUCGCACGGGAAUUUGAGCAGGACACCAGGGGCUGCUUUCUGGUCCUGCGCCAAGAGCCAGCUUGCUUCUCUCAUCAGCCGACGUAGUUGUGGACGCACCUGCCAAGGAAUCGGCACCUGCGUGCGCAGACGGGAACUCGGUUUCUUUCUCGGGGACGCUCAGACCUCCUUCAGCUCUGCCCUUGAGGCCUUCACAUUUCGGUUCCUUGACGACUUCGUCUGAGCACUUGUCAUCGAGGCACGCGUCUCCGACAACCGGGACCAAUGUGGGAGUCUCCAGCCGCGUUCCCUCGCACGCUUCUUCGUCGAACGCGUCAUCCCGAGUUCGACGGAAAUCCAUCGACGCCCGGUUCCUAAGGUUUUGCCCGAAAGGCAAAAAGUCCCCGUCUGGGUUUCCGCUCAGAGGCGCUCUUUCCAACAAAGCCACAGCCCUGUGCAGAUCCUCUGGAGUCGCCAGCACUGUGUCGUCGCCAGCUAGAUCGCUCAGCGAUGACGGAUUCACAGGAGAACGAUGAGCCAGCAGCGUGGCUACCCGCGAGUUCUCUCUGAGACAGUGAAGGACUCCGUUGACGGAUGGUUUUUCUCCCUCCGGCGAAAGAGAAUUAUAGCCGGGCAGAGAGCAGCACGCAGCAGCCGUUUGGUUCAGCAGCUGACUCAGAUCUCCAUCGCCAUUCGCCACCUGCGGCGAAGAAUGAGCACACCUACACGGUGGCUCUGCAACGUCUCGAACGCUGACCCUGCGUGCGCCGAAUGGCUGCGGCUCUGUGACUCUUUCAUGGACAAGACUCGUCGAAGCACUGCAGUCAACGGCUCGCCGUCGUCUUCGUGGUCUUCCGAAUGCAGCGUCCUCUCUCGCGUUCCGCCGGGCAUCCUCCCGACAGACCUUUUCCCACAGGUAAGUUCCUCCUCCGCACCAAGUUGGUUACUGCGGGACGCCUGCAACGACGACUGUGAGCAGCUUCCCACAGGUUCCUGAUGCAGCGGCGAGGCUCCAAGGCCUGCUGCAGGUGAGGCACCGUGAGACCGCGACGAGGGAGAGACGCCGGAGGCGUGUGGCGCACCUGGCCGGACUCCUCGGGAAGAACGCAUGAGAGCUGGAAGCAGUGGCGAAGCGUGUAAAGACGGGCUGGCCUCGCUACCUGUUUGAGAGUUCAUCGAUGACAGCGGACUCUGUGAGUAGGCAGGCGGCGCAUGUUUUAUCCGCUCGGCAAUGGCCUUCGCCCGGGCGCGUGCCAUGCCGAACUUCAUUACACUCCAGCUGCGGCUCCUCUUCUUCCCGUGCACCUUCCAGCUACACCGCCAAGACAGAUUGCCCCGUCGGGUGUCAAAGUAGACGCCCCGGAAAGGCGGGAACUUUCGCGCUUCGCGCACAAGCUGGACUCUCGUCUCUUCUCCGGGGUCGUUGACGGGGCCGUUGACUUCUUCUGCGUCUUCCUCGUCCUCUUCCUCGGAGUCCCAUCGUUGCCGCUUCGCACCACGGAGAUGCGCAUCCGCAGCGCCACUGUCAUCGCUUUCCCCCACUGCAUCCGCUUCGCCGGAAUCGGAAAAGAAAGAGCCCUCCACAGGCGACGAUCGUUGUCGCCGGCGACUCGCGCUGGAAAUGCUGGUUACCGUUUCCGAAGACUCGAGGCCCACAGCCCUUUUCGGCUUCACCGCCUCCUCGUGUCUGCCGGCACGUGACAUCCACGAAGCUGCGCCGACGCCACUCGCCGAAUGGCAUUCCGCAGCGCGGGAGCUCGACCGAAGAUGCGGCGUUCUCUCGGGGCGCCACCACGGGUGGUCUUCCUCUUGAAGCUGUUGAAGAGCGAGUUGCUGCGCGAACCGACUGCGCAGGAUCGAGCUCAGAUGGUCAGCGUGAGAGGGACUCGUGCCGUUCGGCGCCUUCAACGAGGCUUCGUUAGCGGCCAGCGAAUCCCUCGGGCUCCGACCAUGGUCCAUUCCACCGACACUAACGGGUCGCCGGAGGAUACAAUCCGUUUGAGGGAAACGAUCAGGCCCUCGCCAUCCGCGGACGCUGUCGCCGAGGCCAACCAGGACUGCCUCCGAACCGGCGCUGGCGAGAGCGCGAAGCGAGGACGGAUUACUCGGACGGCGACCGUUUCCGGCAUCUCGGUCACCACUGUCCCCAGCAAACGACGCGUCGUCCCCCUGCCUCUCGUGCAACGAAAGAACAUUCACGGGCAUUUCGCGGCUCGACUCGUUACACCUGCUGCCGACCGACUCAGGGGCUGUUUUUUGGCUGUGCCGCGCAAAGUAUCCGGUGUCGCCGCCAAUGAUCGAAUCGCCGAAAAUUCCGUCAACAGAUUUCUCAGCGGCGGCAGAGAAGCGUUCCUUGUCUUUUGGAUCAUCCGAUUCUCCAGACACGGAUACAACUCUUUGCAGGAGGUCCUCCGGUUCAAAUCCAACACUCGAAAACGAGCGGAAGUCGCGGUUGAGCACAUCACUCUGGUGCCACACCGUGCUUCUUGAGGAAAGACGGGAAAUCGGUGAAAUGUCUUUUAUGCCUGGACCUCCUCGUUUGUCGCUGAGACGGAGUUUCUCUUCAGGACACUUCAACGACGUUGUCAUCUCUCUGACGCUGUCGGAACACUCGUGAUGCUCCGGAAGCAUACUCGAGCCGAGCGGGGCUGCAGCCAAUGGGGACAAGCGAUCUGCCACCGCCUUCAGUAUGUCUGCUGCAUGAACUGUACUGCUUCCCUCCGAGUCCGGAGAGCAAGACACAUGCUCACAUACCGUCUGUUUGGUUGACAUUGAAGCUUCCUGCGCCUCCUCUGAUCCGCCUGAGCCUGCAGCAGUCGGGCGCGGAGGCAUCCUUCUUCCGCUCCUCUUGACUUCGGCCCGCCGCGCGCCCGGGCCGAGUUUGCUGUCAGUUUUCGUCGCACCGUGCUCUCCUUGGAACAGUUCCUUAGUGAAACGCGAACUAACCAGGUCAGAAGGUUCGCGAGUUGAGCUCUUGUGUCCAUGUGCACGUUCCGCUUCGCGGCCGUUCCGUUGCGGGGGUGUAGUAGACGGGGUAGGCGAUGAGACAGUCGUGCACAGAGAGCCGCCGAAUCCGCUCCGGCCAGUGCUUUUCGGUUGAAUAACCCUCAAUCGAGAGUCAUCCGCCAUGGGACGUCAGAAGGAAACCACGUUUUUGUAUUUUUUUCUCCCAGAGGGGUGAUAUCGAUGCCAGCUGGUGCCAACAUAUACUGGUGAUGCCUAGACGGGAAGAGCCUCUGCGGCGGCGCGAACUUUCUGGUGUGCCGCAGCACUGGAUGACCGGGCUGUUCGCUUCAUCUCCAGACGGGAGAAGAACGAACCCUCCCGGGGGUACAAAAGCUGAACGUUCGGGAUUCACCCUGCUGUGAGGGAAAGAAUCCCUUUCUUUUUCCUGUUUUACAGAAGCAAACAAAACAGAUGCAGACGCCAGAAAACGUACCCGACUCAGGGGUUCCAGCCUUGUGAUCGGCCAAACCUCCUCUCCAGAGCCGGGGCCCGCUGCAACUCCGCCGCCAGGGAAGCAAGUUGAACAGGUUCGCCACUCCAAUCGGACGGUGGCGCCGAAAUCGAGGCGGCUGGGGAGUUGAGACAGGUGAGACAGGAGCUUUCAGGUUCCACUUCCACAGGAAGGGAACGUGAAACCAGACCACCGGAAUAACUAUGGAAAGCAGCUGAAGCAUAGCUCUGCCGCGGUAUUCUCUCGAGAAAGGAAGCCUAGAAACCCUCCUGGCAGCGUCGCGGAUGCGGCGCGCAGAGUCUCUCUCCGCACCGCCAGGGUUCUCUGCCUACGGACCACGGUGAAUCCGCACUGCUGGGAGUGGAGAGAGAGGGGGGGGGGGGGUCCGGCGCCCGAUUCGUUUGCGGAACUCGGAGAAGCGCAAGGCCGCAGAUUCGUUACUCAACAGUCCCUGAAUAUCGCACUGACGGCGCCAGCACAAGGCCCAGGAAGACACGUCAACGGCAGCUACUACUUUUGUAUACUGAAUGAAAAUGCAAAUCUCGCUUCGGAAAGAAAUGCAACAUGUGCUGUCUUUGACAAUUACCGUGGAGAACGACGCGCGCGCCGCCCCACUCGGAUCGACCAAUAGACAACGUGCGCGGCGACACGCGGCCUCGGACACGUCUCGCGCACGGACCCCACAGGACGGUGUAGGCGUCUCUGGGCGGAAUUGUCCUCACGCUUCUGAGGAGAAAGCUUUCACCCGUGUGUUUCAAGCAGCCACACACGUAAAUUGGACGGUGAAAAACUAGGAAGGGAUCGCAAGAAAGACGCUUGAUGUCCAAGUGCUGGUCUCUGUGUGCAGCAGGAUAUGUCUCAGUGAACGGCUGGGCCGCCGCUCGACUGCGAAACGGCUACCCCGCAUGCGGUUGAACACAGCGCACCCACCGCUGCUGGUGAGCUAAAAAGUGCGUCCCGCGAAUCCCGCGAGUGGCGCUUAAAACACCAUAAGGCAGGGACUGAGUCUGAAGCCCUCUUGAAACGAAUUCGACGUCCAAGGGAACGAGUGUCAAUCUUUUAAAGACACACAAGCCAGUUACAGGAGAAAAGAGUGAAUGGCCUGAUGCCCAGAAGGCCAAUACCAAAAUUUCCACUCGGGUCCGCGCGGCUUCUACCAAUACGGGCCAUGCACGCACGGAUUCGGUGUGGACACAGCUCCGAGUCCGCGGAGGAGCGCACGAACUCCGUUGAUGUGCAGAGGCGCACUUUCCUCCUUUGCUCUUAGGUUAAGCCAGAAGCAGCCAAAGUAUUGAUUUUGCCUUUGGGUGACAGGUCAACCCUCCCAUAAGAAGGCAGAUUUGCGGAAACCCGAGAUGCAGCAGCCGUAGUCUGCACGAGAGAACGAUGAGCGCUGCACACAGCAAGGGGGUGAGAGAGGCGAUGCCCGAGUUUCGACAGUGCGUCUCGCGUAACAAACCAAAGGAACAGCGGAAUGUUCACAAGAUUUGUCUACAGAUACAUGCAACACACCUUCGAAAUCAACUUUCGCGUGUCACUGAGUGUAAACAUCACCUCGCUCCCGGUUGCAACGACCUCCGCCGAACCACUCGGGUUGUGGAUGGUUACCCCUUAAAAGUGCUUUCGACUGAAAAAACGUCUUUGGGCAAGAUGUUCCUUCACUGUUAAUCCUAGCACCAGCUUCGGAAGCCUGACACCCUCCGUGCUAAGCGUGAAAUUGGUGGUGGACGACACACUCGAAACUGUUCCAUGCGUACCGAUACAAUAUGGCCUUAUCAAGUGCAUAAAGAGCAGACGCAGG